AGAGUUUGAUCCUGGCUCAGGACGAACGCUGGCGGCGUGCUUAACACAUGCAAGUCGAACGAAGAGCGAUGGAAGCUUGCUUCUAUCAAUCUUAGUGGCGAACGGGUGAGUAACGCGUAAUCAACCUGCCCUUCAGAGGGGGACAACAGUUGGAAACGACUGCUAAUACCGCAUACGAUCUAACCUCGGCAUCGAGGAUAGAUGAAAGGUGGCCUCUAUUUAUAAGCUAUCACUGAAGGAGGGGAUUGCGUCUGAUUAGCUAGUUGGAGGGGUAACGGCCCACCAAGGCGAUGAUCAGUAGCCGGUCUGAGAGGAUGAACGGCCACAUUGGGACUGAGACACGGCCCAGACUCCUACGGGAGGCAGCAGUGGGGAAUCUUCCGCAAUGGACGAAAGUCUGACGGAGCAACGCCGCGUGAGUGAUGACGGCCUUCGGGUUGUAAAGCUCUGUUAAUCGGGACGAAAGGCCUUCUUGCGAAUAGUGAGAAGGAUUGACGGUACCGGAAUAGAAAGCCACGGCUAACUACGUGCCAGCAGCCGCGGUAAUACGUAGGUGGCAAGCGUUGUCCGGAUUUAUUGGGCGUAAAGCGAGUGCAGGCGGUUCAAUAAGUCUGAUGUGAAAGCCUUCGGCUCAACCGGAGAAUUGCAUCAGAAACUGUUGAACUUGAGUGCAGAAGAGGAGAGUGGAACUCCAUGUGUAGCGGUGGAAUGCGUAGAUAUAUGGAAGAACACCAGUGGCGAAGGCGGCUCUCUGGUCUGCAACUGACGCUGAGGCUCGAAAGCAUGGGUAGCGAACAGGAUUAGAUACCCUGGUAGUCCAUGCCGUAAACGAUGAGUGCUAAGUGUUGGGAGGUUUCCGCCUCUCAGUGCUGCAGCUAACGCAUUAAGCACUCCGCCUGGGGAGUACGACCGCAAGGUUGAAAC
rnacentral:rRNA from 1 species